rnacentral:rRNA from 1 species
CAGCCGCCACGGUAAUACGUAGGUGGCAAGCGUUGUCCGGAAUUAUUGGGCGUAAAGGGCUCGCAGGCGGUUUCUUAAGUCUGAUGUGAAAGCCCCCGGCUCAACCGGGGAGGGUCAUUGGAAACUGGGAAACUUGAGUGCAGAAGAGGAGAGCGGAAUUCCACGUGUAGCGGUGAAAUGCGUAGAGAUGUGGAGGAACACCAGUGGCGAAGGCGACUCUCUGGUCUGUAACUGACGCUGAGGAGCGAAAGCGUGGGGAGCGAACAGGAUUAGAUACCCCGGUAGUCCCUGUCUCUUAUAA